GACGAACGCUGGCGGCGUGCCUAAUACAUGCAAGUAGACCUUAGUGGCGAACGGGUGAGUAACACGUGGGUAACCUGCCCAACAGAAGGGGAUAAAGCUUGGAAACAGGUGCUAAUACCGGAUACUGGAGGAUGGACCCGCGUGGCAUAAGCUAGUUGGUGAGGUAACGGCUCACCAAGGCCCCGGUGUAUAGCCGACCUGAGAGAGUGGUCGGCCACAUUGGGACUGAGACACGGCCCAAACUCCUGCGUGAGGCAGCAGUAGGGAAUCUUCGGCAAUGGACGAAAGUCUGACCGAGCAACGCCGCGGGAGUGAAGAAGGUUUUCGGAUCGUAAAACUCUGUUGUUAGAGAAGCGGUAUCUAACCAGAAAGCCACGGCUAACUACGUGCCAGCAGCCGCGGUAAUAC
rnacentral:rRNA from 1 species